AUGAAAUUGAAUACUGAUGGAGCGGUAGCUCAUCACAAACAUGAAGGAGGAGCAACAGCUGUAUGCCGUGACCACAAUAGCAUUUAUCUUGGGUCAUCAACGAUGGUAUUUCACAUUACUGGUCCGGUGGUGCUUGAAGCAUAUGCGUGUAGGGAAUCGAUGACUCUGUCGGAGGACCUGGACAUUCAAAGCCUACUAGUGUCCUCAGAUUGCCAAGGAAUCGUCAAUGAUAUUAAUCAGGGGACAGGAGGCCCUCAUGCGGCAAUCAUACAUGAAAUAAUAGCUCGUAGAAGUAGUUUUCAGUCUUGUAGUUUCAUUCAUGAGCGUAGAAACUUCAAUUUUGAGGCUCAUAAUCUUGCCAAAAUUUGUUGUAAUUUAGGCUUAGGUAGACAUGUUUGGCUGGGUAUGCUUCAUGACCUAACUAGUGUAUCUAUGGACAUUACUUUGAAUCUAUAA
rnacentral:rRNA from 1 species